UAACAAGAUUUUUUAAAAUCCAUAAAUGUAAACAGAGAAAAUGUUU
rfam:Camelus ferus unplaced genomic scaffold scaffold2100, whole genome shotgun sequence.